AUGAACGCUGGCGGCGUGCCUAAUACAUGCAAGUCGAGCGAACAGACGAGGAGCUUGCUCCUCUGACGUUAGCGGCGGACGGGUGAGUAACACGUGGAUAACCUACCUAUAAGACUGGGAUAACUUCGGGAAACCGGAGCUAAUACCGGAUAAUAUAUUGAACCGCAUGGUUCAAUAGUGAAAGACGGUUUUGCUGUCACUUAUAGAUGGAUCCGCGCCGCAUUAGCUAGUUGGUAAGGUAACGGCUUACCAAGGCAACGAUGCGUAGCCGACCUGAGAGGGUGAUCGGCCACACUGGAACUGAGACACGGUCCAGACUCCGACGGGAGGCAGCAGUAGGGAAUCUUCCGCAAUGGGCGAAAGCCUGACGGAGCAACGCCGCGUGAGUGAUGAAGGUCUUCGGAUCGUAAAACGCUGUUAUUAGGGAAGAACAAAUGUGUAAGUAACGAUGCACGUCUUGACGGUACCUAAGCAGAAAGCCACGGCUAACUACGU
rnacentral:rRNA from 1 species